rnacentral:rRNA from 1 species
UACGUAGGGGGCUAGCGUUGUCCGGAUUUACUGGGCGUAAAGAGCGCGCAGGCGGUCGUACAAGUCGCGUGUGAAAGCCCCCGGCUCAACUGGGGAGGGUCACGCGAUACUGUUCGACUCGAAGGCAGGAGAGGGAAGCAGAAUUCCCGGUGUAGUGGUGAAAUGCGUAGAUAUCGGGAGGAAUACCAGUGGCGAAGGCGGGUCUCUGGACAGUUCCUGACGCUGAGGCACGAAGGUCAGGGGAGCAAACGGG